rnacentral:rRNA from 1 species
UAGGGAAUCUUCCGCAAUGGACGCAAGUCUGACGGAGCAACGCCGCGUGAGUGAAGAAGGAUUUCGGUUCGUAAAACUCUGUUGUUAGAGAAGAACAGCGCAUAGAGUAACUGUUAUGCGUGUGACGGUAUCUAACCAGAAAGCCACGGCUAACUACGUGCCAGCAGCCGCGGUAAUACGUAGGUGGCAAGCGUUGUCCGGAUUUAUUGGGCGUAAAGCGAGCGCAGGCGGUCAAUUAAGUCUGAUGUGAAAGCCCCCGGCUCAACCGGGGAGGGUCAUUGGAAACUGGUUGACUUGAGUGCAGAAGAGGAGAGUGGAAUUCCAUGUGUAGCGGUGAAAUGCGUAGAUAUAUGGAGGAACACCAGUGGCGAAGGCGACUCUCUGGUCUGUACCUGACGCUGAGGCUCGAAAGCGUGGGUAGCAAACAGG